rnacentral:rRNA from 1 species
UACGGAGGGUGCAAGCGUUGUUCGGAAUCACUGGGCGUAAAGCGCGCGCAGACGGGUCUAUAAGUCGACUGUGAAAUCCCAGAGCUUAACUUUGGAAUUGCAGCCGAAACUGGAGGACUUGAAUACCUGAGAGGGUGGGGGAAUUCCUGGUGUAGAAGUGAAAUUCGUAGAUAUCAGGAGGAACAUCGGCGGCGAAGGCGCCUACCUGGCAGUGUAUUGACGUUGAGGCGCGAAAGCAUGGGGAGCAAACAGG